AAACUCAUCCAGCGUAGGGUUGUUCUGUCGUCUGCAUGGACGUGCGGGCCGAGUCACCAAGGCAGCCUCUCCCUCCCUCCCUCCCUCUCUCUCUCUCUCUCUCCACCAGUCUCCGUAGAGACCCGGAGGCGGAGCUGCAGAGCAGAGCUCGGGGCACAAGAGGAGCUGCGCGGGCGGGUCCACCUGCGGCCCUCAGCCCUCCUGCCGGCAGGAGGCUGAGCUCGGCGAGCGCCGCACGGAACCCUGACGACAGGUAACCUGGAUGGGGAGAACCAUGCUGCAGAGUGAACCGUGGAGGAUGUUUUCCUCCGGAAGUUCAUGCUGGGCCCCUUCCCAGGGUGUCUGGUCGACCAGCUGAUCCUAAAGCGCCGGGCUAACCAGUUGGAGAUCCGUGCCCUGGUCCUGAGGCAGCUGCCUGCACACAAGUUCUACUUCCUGGUGGGCUACAGUGAGACUCUGCUGUCCCAUUUUGACAAAUGUCCCGUCCGUCUGCAGCUCCAGACUGUGCCCUCCAAGGUCGUAUAUAAGUACAUCUAAGGCAGUCACCUUUUCUGCAUCAGGCUCUAGCCUGUGAAGGACAGAACCAUAUGGGAAAGGAGUGAAGUAGAAAUGGGGAAAUACAUCCCUCACUGUCUCGAGGAUUCCUUUUCAAAGCUGCUGUUGAAUAAAUAGACCUUCCGUGUUGUCUUGCCUCUUGGUUUGUAUUUCCUCCUUAGAGAAGAGAACUAGAAUAGGGUUUCUUCGAAGAUGUUCCAAGGCUCCCCAAAAGGCUGCCAGUUGUUUGAGGCUUGGGUAAUAGCUACAGUGCGAGUCUCUUGUCACUUUACCAGGAACUUUAUCUGGAGCUCUUUGUUUUCUCUCAAAGUGGAAAAAUCCACUUUUAGUCAUUAUAAAUAAACAUUAAGUUUUUAAAAUUUGAAACAAUAUGGACACGUGUCAAGUCAACCAUGAAAGUUACUUGUAAUUCUUACACCAAGAGAACUACUGUGCACAGUUUAUUUUAUUUCCAGAUGUACCUUUUCCCUCCAGAAAUACCUUAAUGGAUACUUGUUGCUUAUUAAAUAAGCUUUCAAUUGAGCACCUGCUGUAGGCCACAGAUUCUUCUGAGUGCUUGGAAUCCAUCAAUGGACAAAACAUUCUGCUCCAGGAUCCCUGCCUUCAUGACACCUGUAUCCCUGUGGAGGUCUGCAGGGAGGGUUAGGCAGCGCUGAGGACUCCCAAGAAGGUGAGCUCAGUGCAGGAGAGCGUUUCAGGAGGUGGCAUCUGCAAAAGCUGCACGUGGUGCUGGGUGGUGGGGAAGGGAUUGCUGACCAACUUCACUGUGACACUGACCUUGACCCUCACCUUGACCAUGACCCUGUUACGCUUAACCCUGAACCUCAACCUCACACACCCUGAUCCCAACCCUGACCUUGACUUAUCACCCUGACUCUGAUUCCCUAAGCUCUACCCUCACUCUUAACAGUUAAGCUGUCCCUAAUCCUACCCACAACUUGACCUUCACUCAACCUCACUCUUACCUGAGGGUCUCACCUGGACCCUCCCCUGAUCAUGUCUGACUCUGACACUGACGUUGACUACAUCCCUCACAUAACCCUGAUUCUCAGUCACAACUUCACUCUGAAAAUAUCCUAAUGCUAUCUGACCCUUACCACGACCCUGACUGUGACC
ensembl:lncRNA